AUGGCUGUCGUCAGCUCGUGUCGUGAGAUGUUGGGUUAAGUCCCGCAACGAGCGCAACCCUCGUUCUAUGUUGCCAGCGCGUUAUGGCGGGAACUCAUAGGAGACUGCCGGGGUCAACUCGGAGGAAGGUGGGGAUGACGUCAAAUCAUCAUGCCCCUUAUGUCUUGGGCUUCACGCAUGCUACAAUGGCCGGUACAAAGGGCUGCAAUACCGUAAGGUGGAGCGAAUCCCAAAAAGCCGGUCUCAGUUCGGAUUGAGGUCUGCAACUCGACCUCAUGAAGUCGGAGUCGCUAGUAAUCGUGGAUCAGCAACGCCACGGUGAAUACGUUCCCGGGCCUUGUACACACCGCCCGUCAAGUCAUGAAAGUCGGUAACACCCGAAGCCAGUGGCCCAACCGCAAGGAGGGAGCUGUCGAAGGUGGGAUCGGUGAUUAGGACUAAGUCGUAACAAGGUAGCCGUACCGGAAGGUGCGGCUGGAUCACCUCCUUUCUAAGGAGCAUCUUUCAGACUUCGGUCUGACAAGAGCCGUACUGAGGCGUUCGUUCUCAGACGGUUUGCUCAUGGGUGGAACAUUUGACUAGGUGCCGACUCGAUUCUCGAGAUCCCAGUACAGCUCUUCGGAGCACGGAACGGAUCGGAAGAGGGCAGCCGGCACAUGCACGCUGUUGGGUCCUGAGGGACCGGGCCGGCGAUCGCAAGAUUGUCGUGACCCUACCUCUGGACUUCGACUGUCCCGGCCAGCGGCCGAGGCGGCGGAGUACCGCCCGUAUUUUGAGAACUACACAGUGGACGCGAGCAUCUUAGAUUCGGACUCUUCGGAGUCCGUGAUCUACAAGAUGAACUAAAGGGCACCCUUCGGGGUGUUCCGAUAGAUCAUUGGUCAAUCUGCAGCUGACGGAACGUGCCUUCGGGCUCAGUACGCCGGCUGUCGAUCGAUUCUAAAAACUCAUGUAGUCAAGUUUCUAAGAGCAGACGGUGGAUGCCUUGGCAUCUGGAGCCGAAGAAGGACGUAGCAAUCUGCGAUAAGCCUCGGGGAGCUGAUAAGCGAGCUUUGAUCCGAGGAUGUCCGAAUGGGGAAACCCGG
rnacentral:sRNA from 1 species